UACGUAGGCAGCAAGCGUUGUUCGGAGUUACUGGGCGUAAAGAGUGCGUAGGUGGUGCCCUAAGUCUGUUGUGAAAUCUCCCGGCUUAACUGGGAGGGUGCGGUGGAAACUGGGGUGCUUGAGUGUGGGAGAGGUAAGCGGAAUUCCUGGUGUAGCGGUGAAAUGCGUAGAGAUGUGGAGGAACACCGAUGGCGAAGGCAGCCCCCUGGGUCAACACUGACGCCCAUGCACGAAAGCGUGGGGAGCAAACAGG
rnacentral:rRNA from 1 species